ACAGAGGUCCCGAGCGUUGUUCGGAUUCACUGGGCGUAAAGGGUGCGUAGGCGGCCGGGCAAGUUGGAUGUGAAAGCUCGCAGCUCAACUGCGAAAUGGCAUUGAAGACUGCUUGGCUGGAGGCUUGGAGGGGGGACUGGAAUGCUGGGUGUAGCAGUGAAAUGCGUAGAGAUCCAGCGGAACACCGGUGGCGAAGGCGAGUCCCUGGACAAGUCCUGACGCUGAGGCACGAAAGCUAGGGGAGCAAACAGGA
rnacentral:rRNA from 1 species